rnacentral:rRNA from 1 species
CUCAUCAUGAAAGCGGCGGACUGGUGAGUAACGCGUGGGUGAUCUACCUUGAGGACGGGGAUAGCCGUUAGAAAUAGCGGGUAAUACCGGAUACGGUCACGGGGUUAUGACUCUGUGAAGAAAGGCGCUAUGGCGCCGCCUUAAGAUGAGCCCGCGUCCCAUUAGCUAGUUGGUGUGGUAAAAGCGCACCAAGGCGAAGAUGGGUAGCCGGCCUGAGAGGGUGAACGGCCACACUGGGACUGAGAUACGGCCCAGACUCCUACGUGGAGGCAGCAGCUAAGAAUAUUCCGCAAUGGACGAAAGUCUGACGGAGCGACGCCGCGUGGAUGAGGAAGGCCGAAAGGUUGUAAAAUCCUUUUGCAGACGAAGAAUAAGGCGGGUAGGGAAUGACCCGUUGAUGACAGUUAGUCUGCGAAUAAGCCCCGGCUAAUUAC